rnacentral:snRNA from 1 species
GUGCUCACUUCAGCAGUGCAUAUACUAAAAUUGGAAUGAUACAGAAAAGAUUUGCAUGGCCCUGCACAAGCAUGGCCCUUGUACAAGCAUGGCUCCUGCACAAGCAUGGCUCCUGCGCAAACAUGGCACACAAAUUCGUGAAGAGGUCCAUAUUUUU